AAGUCUAGAUAUUCCUCAAUCUCCAAUCUCACUGGGACACAUUUUCAAUACAAAAGGAGUUACUUGUUUCUAUCAAAAUUAUAAAGUUUCAGAGACUAAGCGUUAGUCUAACACACACGAGCGCGCCGUUACAUAAGUGCAAUACUCUUGAACGCCACUACCACCACCUCGUUUCAGAUAUACUUCCUAGUACUAGCCUCAUAUACAGUAUGUAAUGGAAGUACAUGUAUACAUACAUUGAGGGGUGCAGGUGCUACACACCAGCCGUUUCUACAUAAAUCACUAUAUUGUGGGAUGACAAUAGGGUGUAUUGUAACAGCUGUCACGCUGUAGUCAACUCAAGGUGGCCACCACAGUGAAGUUUACAUAUCGACCCUGGCUUUCUCUUCAGAUAUUAACUGUUGGCAACACAUGGAGAGGUGAAUGUGCUCGCACGAGCUGAUAACGCCGGCUGAAGGUUGAGCGUACAUAUGUAGGAGUCGACGGGGCGUCACGGACAAGGAUGUGAUCACGGCAGUGAUAACUGCCUGUCUCUACAGUUGAUGCACCCCUAUCAUGUGAUGUGCCAGCUGUCACACAAGAAGGAUAAACUGUAAACAGGCGAGGAAGCAGCAGUGCAUUGAAGACACCAGGUGGUUGAAAACAACCUGGGCGAUGAUGUUCCACAUGUCAACCGAAGAUUGGUCCAACUGAGCUCGCGUUACAGGCUGGUUCUGGUUUGGUUUCUUGUUUUACGCCGCACUCAGCAAUAUCCCAGCUAUAUGACAAGUAAUAGUUCAUUUCAGAAGGAAUUGUAUUCAUCAUGAAAAUAUAUUAUUGUGAUACCUUAGGACUUCAGUUCUGAAAUGUUGAACUUCCCUGACUGGGCUCAUUAAGUCAGAAUAGUUUUAUACAACAGAAUUUAUGUCUUUUUCAAAAUAAUAACACUUGGUACAAAACAUCUUCAAAAAAUCUGAUUUGUUUGUUUUGUUUAACAAUAACUUUCUCAUCAAAUACAAAGUCCUCAACUUCCCUGUGUGAAGAAUACACAUGGCCCCUCUUGCUACCAUAAGCUUUGUUUGGGAAAUGACAUCACCAUUCUCAUCUUAUUUUCUUAGUAACCUCCCAUAAUAAUUAUUGUGUAAUUUCAUUAUACAGCUAAUUUUGACAUUGUAUCCUUCCUACUGGACUCCAAACAAAGGUAUGUUAUCAAGUAUUCUAUUAGUGUAUAAUCCCCACGGUCUGUACAACGGUUUCUUUACUGAUUAUCAUCAAAAUAGUCCUGAAGCUAAGUUUCAAAUGACAUAAAAGUUGAUAAAAUUAUGAAAAUGUCAUUGUGUCAUUUGUCUCUAGCAAAAUCACUGGGACAUUACAUAGAAUAUUCUCCAUGGGUGAUUUUUAAUAUGGGAAAUAUCAACUGAGUCUUUUUUAAUUUGUAUUUGCCCUCCCUUAUAUUCAGAGUAUCAACUACUUCCUUCUGGCUGCCAGAGCCCGGAAUUCAUUCAUACCAGCUGGCACCAGGUUUUAUAUAAGUUUUGUGAGAAACAAGUGUUGAGCAGUUAUUCGCUAAUGCCACAUUUAUUGUUAAUUUUAUUUGUGAUGUUAUUAUUUAAUUUUAAUAUGUAUUUAUCAAUAAGCUAAGAACUUCUGCUUAUGUAACCCACAUUUUCUUCAGGAUAAUAAAGUGUUAUCUAAUCUUAACUUCAGAUGUGACAGCAAAAUUCACAGUUUGACUCACUGUUUAUAAGUUUGAGCUACUCAUCUCUGCUCAUUCCUGUGUAGCAUGUCUGAUGAGUCAGUCCAUUGCUUGCAGGAGUCACUAAAGAGUAUGCUGAUUCUUCCCAACAGUUUUGGUACACUGUAAACACUUGGCAUGCAUGGAAAACAGCUCCACAUGCCAAAGUCUUUGCUACCGUUAAACAAAGAUCUGAGGACAUCGCAUUACCUUUCAUCAAACCAAUCAGAGCAUCGCUUACCAGAUCAUGAAAGUGACAGUUGGAAUGUGUUUUCUAAUCAUCCAACCUCUAAAACAAUUAAUACGGGGUACUCUGAACAACAGUUACAGACUUACUGACUGAAUCCAUACAAACCAGGCCAUUCCAGAAUGUUCCUGUGUUCAGUUUUCAAAUUUUUAAUCAAGAAUUUGUCAAAAUAUGUUUCAAAGCGUAGUUGCCAGUUUGAAACUAUUGCUGUAAAGCAUGAGGAAGCUGCCUUAUGCUUGGCUAAUGUUGACUUCUUGUCAGUCAUUCCGUUGGUCGGUCAUGAAAUGUCGGUCUGACGUGACCCAGAAUGGCAUGUCCGCAGAUCUUUUGUUAGCGGUAACAAGAACUAAGAUCUUAUUGUAAUGAGGUCCGUGAGUUAUUCUGAUGUAAUAACCCUCACUGUUGACAUCUGAUAAACUCUCCACCUCACAUAUGGAAAACUUUCAAAUCAACCAAUCAUGGUUGGAUGCAUCAAGGGAAGAAAUUGUGGCUGCAUGUCUCAACCUCAAAAACGAAUGAAACAGGUAGUUCGGAGUGGAGAAUUAGAAUAGGUGUAUGUGAAAGUCAAAGACCACAGAAGGGUCCAAAAGCAAAACAUUCCAAACUUAUAUUUUUUGUUAGUCGACAUACCAUAUAUUUGCAAUUAUAAAGAAAUGCAGGACUAGGUCCUGGAACAGUACAUGUCACACACAUGCAGGACUAGGUCCUGGAACAGUACAUGUCACACACAUGCAGGACUAGGUCCUGGAACAGUACAUGUCACACACAUGCAGG